GGGGGGUACCACGAGAAGGCUGGGGUUGGAGGGGUGGGAACGGGGGGCUGGGUCAGGGCGGUAAGGGCAGAGAUUAGGGACGGCAAAUCAGCCGAGGGAGGAGGAGGCAACGAGGUAGAGGGGGCCGGGACUUCGGGAGGAGGAGGUAACACUGGAGAAGGGGUUGGAGGGGUGAUAACGGGGGGGUUGGGUCAGGGCGGUGAGGGCAGAAAUCAGGGACGGCAAAUCGGCCGAGGGAGGAGGAGGAGGCAACGAGGUAAAGGGGACCGGGAUAUCGGGAGGGGGGUACCACUGGAGAAGGGGUUGGAGGGGUGGGAACGGGGGGCUGGGUCAGGGCAGUGAGGGCAGAGAUUAGGGACGGCAAAUCAGUCGGGAGGGGAGGGGACAACGAGGUAGAAGGGAGGUCCGGAGGCAUAAGGGAAGCGGGAUCAGCGGGAGGACAAGGGUCUGGAGGAUCUGGGGCGGGGGGGUGAGUAAGGUCGAGAGGGCAGAGAGCGGGGCAGCGGAUGGAGACGGGUGAGUGGGUAACACUGGGGAGGGGUCAGUCGAGGUGGAGAGGGGACGAGAGGCAAGCAUAGGUAAAGGUGGCGGGGGACAGGGAGGCGGAGGAAUGUCAUUUAACGUAAAGGAUGUUACUGUAAACAUACGAU